rnacentral:SRP_RNA from 8 species
CAAGGAACCGCUGGUUGGGAGGCUACCGGUCUCCUGUUAUCACAAAUCCGGUUCAUGGUGAAAUCAUAGUUCAAGGGCAGCUCAACGAUACACUCAAGCCCGGGUUUUGGACUGAGAAACCUCGUCUCCCAGGGUCGUUUGUAUGUUGAACGAGUCAGGUCCGGAAGGAAGCAGCUAUAAGGCAAACGUAAUGAUGCUUGCGAGCUCUCGGGGUGGAGAAAAAGACUCGGAUUAACUUGUUUGUAAAGUUGUUCUCACCUUGAGCAUGUUCCUUG